GUGGGGAAUUUUGGACAAUGGGCGAAAGCCUGAUCCAGCCAUGCCGCGUGCAGGAUGAAGGCCUUCGGGUUGUAAACUGCUUUUGUACGGAACGAAACGGUCCGGGUUAAUACCCUGGGCUAAUGACGGUACCGUAAGAAUAAGCACCGGCUAACUACGUGCCAGCAGCCGCGGUAAUACGUAGGGUGCAAGCGUUAAUCGGAAUUACUGGGCGUAACGCGUGCGCAGGCGGUUUUGUAAGACAGGCGUGAAAUCCCCGGGCUCAACCUGGGAAUUGCGGUUGUGACUGCAAGGCUGGAGGGCGGCAGAGGGGGAAGGAAUUCCGCGUGUAGCAGUGAAAUGCGUAGAUAUGCGGAGGAACACCGAUGGCGAAGGCAAUCCCCUGGGCCUGCACUGACGCUCAUGCACGAAAGCGUGGGGAGCAAACAGGAUUAGAAACCCUGGUAGUCC
rnacentral:rRNA from 1 species